CUGCGGAGGACAUUAACGAAUAUCUAUGGCGUUGGUUGUAGCUGGCUCCUAGGAGCAUUGUGCACGCCCGUCAUUCAUAUCAUCUUUCCACCUGUGAACCAUGUGUAGGCCUGGAUACCCCUCGCUUUGGCAACAAAGCGGAUGCGAGGAUUGCUGCGUCGACAAGGCCGGCUCUCUUUGAAUUUCCAGGUUCUAUGUCUUUUACACACCCCAUUCGAAUGAUUUAGAAUGUAGUCAAUGGGCUUUCAUGCCUAUAAAAAACUAUACAACUUUCAGCAACGGAUCUCUUGGCUCUCGCAUCGAUGAAGAACGCAGCGAAAUGCGAUAAGUAAUGUGAAUUGCAGAAUUCAGUGAAUCAUCGAAUCUUUGAACGCACCUUGCGCUCCUUGGUAUUCCGAGGAGCAUGCCUGUUUGAGUGUCAUUAAAUUCUCAACCUCACCAGUUUUGUAACGAGACAGGUGAAGGCUUGGAUGUGGGGGUUUUGCAGGCUGCCUCAGUGCUGGUCUGCUCCCCUGAAAUGCAUUAGCGAGCUCAUAUUGAGCUUCCGUCUAUUGGUGUGAUAAUUAUCUACGCCGUGGAUUGGACUCAUGCUUGCUUCUAACCGUCCGAAAGGACAAUUUACUUGACCAAUUUGACCUCAAAUCAGGUAGGACUACCCGCUGAACUUAAGCAUAUCAAUAAGCGGGAGGAAAAAUAUGUGUGGG
rnacentral:sRNA from 2 species